rnacentral:rRNA from 1 species
GAUGAACGCUGGCGGCGUGCCUAAUACAUGCCAGUCGAGCGAACAGAUAAGGAGCUUGCUCCUUUGACGUUAGCGGCGGACGGGUGAGUAACACGUGGGUAACCUACCUAUAAGACUGGGAUAACUUCGGGAAACCGGAGCUAAUACCGGAUAACAUUUGGAACCGCAUGGUUCUAAAGUGAAAGAUGGUUUUGCUAUCACUUAUAGAUGGACCCGCGCCGUAUUAGCUAGUUGGUAAGGUAACGGCUUACCAAGGCAACGAUACGUAGCCGACCUGAGAGGGUGAUCGGCCACACUGGAACUGAGACACGGUCCAGACUCCUACGGGAGGCAGGAGUAGGGAAUCUUCCGCAAUGGGCGAAAGCCUGACGGAGCAACGCCGCGUGAGUGAUGAAGGGUUUCGGCUCGUAAAACUCUGUUAUUAGGGAAGAACAAAUGUGUAAGUAACUGUGCACGUCUUGACGGUACCUAAUCAGAAAGCCACGGCUAACUACGUG